rnacentral:rRNA from 1 species
UACGUAGGUGGCGAGCGUUGUCCGGAAUCACUGGGCGUAAAGGGCGCGUAGGCGGUUAAUUAAGUCAGGUGUGUAAACCGCAGGCUUAACCUGAGGAUUGCACCUGAUACUGGAUAACUUGAGUGCAGGAGAGGGCAGUGGAAUUCCUAGUGUAGCGGUGAAAUGCGUAGAUAUUAGGAGGAACACCAGUGGCGAAGGCGGCUGCCUGGACUGCAACUGACGCUGAGGCGCGAAAGCGUGGGGAGCAAACAGGAUUAGAUA